AUAACGGCGCUGGCACCGCCCCUUCUCGAUAACUCGCAGAGCUGGGCUGGUAAAAUUGCAGUGCUAAGAACACUGGACCCGGCUGCUCAGGAGUCAACACACAUAUACACUAAGGAGGAAGUGAGUUCCCACACCAGCCCUGAGACUGGGAUCUGGGUGACUCUGGGCUCUGAGGUCUUUGAUGUCACAGAAUUUGUGGACUUACAUCCAGGGGGCCCUUCAAAGCUGAUGCUAGCAGCUGGGGGUCCCCUAGAGCCCUUCUGGGCCCUCUAUGCUG
rnacentral:sRNA from 1 species